rnacentral:piRNA from 1 species
UGACUGCGCUCUCAAUCAGUU